CACUCCUACGGGAGGCAGCAGUGGGGAAUAUUGGACAAUGGGCGCAAGCCUGAUCCAGCCAUGCCGCGUGAGUGAUGAAGGCCCUAGGGUUGUAAAGCUCUUUCACCGGUGAAGAUAAUGACGGUAACCGGAGAAGAAGCCCCGGCUAACUUCGUGCCAGCAGCCGCGGUAAUACGAAGGGGGCUAGCGUUGUUCGGAUUUACUGGGCGUAAAGCGCACGUAGGCGGACUAUUAAGUCAGGGGUGAAAUCCCGGGGCUCAACCCCGGAACUGCCUUUGAUACUGGUAGUCUUGAGUUCGAGAGAGGUGAGUGGAAUUCCGAGUGUAGAGGGGAAAUUCGUAGAUAUUCGGAGGAACACCAGUGGCGAAGGCGGCUCACUGGCUCGAUACUGACGCUGAGGUGCGAAAGCGUGGGGAGCAAACAGGAUUAGAAACCCGAGUAGUCCC
rnacentral:rRNA from 1 species